CGAUCGUUUCGGCCUCGUACACAAGCUCGCUUUCCCUAAAAAAACGCACAAGAGCUCGCUGCGCGUAGCCGCCCAUGGAAGUUAGACGAGGGCAUCCGUACAACAGAUUAGCGCGGCCGCCGUCGCCGAUGGCGGAAUAAUUACAUUUCAGAAUUUUCCCUUAGCACUACUCAACAGGACUCACUUCAGAUCUAAGGUAUACAACAAAGGGGAGAAUUCUGGCAGAUGGAAAUCUGGACGUGAAAAAGCUACGUCAGGCUACAUAUUCUGCACAACUCCAAAUGAGCUGAAAUUUGACGAGGAUUUUUAUGGAAUAAAUAAGAAAUACUGGAGCAAAUAAGUACAGAAGGGGCCCACCCUGGUGAGCAUAAGACACCAGGGCGUGCCUGCGCCCCCAGGCGCGCCCUGGUGGGUUGUGCUCAUCCAGGCCCACCUCCGGUGCCCCCCUUCUGGUACAUAAGUCAUUUUGACCAAGAAAAAUAAAUAA